UGGGAUAGCUCAGUCGGUAGAGAAUGAGACUCAUCAUCUCAGGGUCGUGGGUUUGAGCCCCACACUGGAAAA